CCUACGGGAGACAGCAGUGGGGGAUAUUGGACAAUGGGGGAAACCCUGAUCCAGCGACGCCGCGUGAGUGAAGAAGUAUUUCGGUAUGUAAAGCUCUAUCAGCAGGGAAGAAAGAAAUGACGGUACCUGAGGAAGAAGCCCCGGCUAACUACGUGCCAGCAGCCGCGGUAAUACGUAGGGGGCAAGCGUUAUCCGGAAUUACUGGGUGUAAAGGGAGCGUAGACGGUAAUGCAAGUCUGGAGUGAAAGGCGGGGGCGCAACCCCCGGACUGCUCUGGAAACUGUGUAACUGGAGUGCAGGAGAGGCAGGCGGAAUUCCUAGUGUAGCGGUGAAAUGCGUAGAUAUUAGGAGGAACACCAGUGGCGAAGGCGGCCUGCUGGACUGUAACUGACGUUGAGGCUCGAAAGCGUGGGGAGCAAACAGGAUUAGAUACCCCUGUAGUC
rnacentral:rRNA from 1 species